GGGGAAUUUUCCGCAAUGGGCGAAAGCCUGACGGAGCAAUACCGAGUGAGGGAGGAAGGCUCUUGGGUUGUAAACCUCUUUUCUCAAGGAAGAAUAAAUGACGGUACUUGAGGAAUAAGCAUCGGCUAACUCCGUGCCAGCAGCCGCGGUAAUACGGAGGAUGCAAGCGUUAUCCGAAAUGAUUGGGCGUAAAGCGUCCGCAGGUGGCUGUGUAAGUCUGCUGUUAAAUAGUGAGGCUCAACCUCAUAAAGGCAGUGGAAACUACAUGGCUAGAGUGCGUUCGGGGCAGAGGGAAUUCCUGGUGUAGCGGUGAAAUGCGUAGAGAUCAGGAAGAACACCGGUGGCGAAAGCGCUCUGCUAGGCCGCAACUGACACUCAUGGACGAAAGCUAGGGGAGCGAAUGGGAUUAGAUACCCCAGUAGUCCUAGCCGUAAACGAUGGAUACUAGGCGUGGCUUGUAUCGACCCGAGCCGUGCCGUAGCUAACGCGUUAAGUAUCCCGCCUGGGGAGUACGCAGGCAACUGUGAAACUCAAAGGAAUUGACGGGGGCCCGCACAAGCGGUGGAGUAUGUGGUUUAAUUCGAUGCAACGCGAAGAACCUUACCAGGACUUGACAUGUCGCGAAUUCCUGCGAAAGUAGGGAGUGCCUUCGGGAGCGCGAACACAGGUGGUGCAUGGCUGUCGUCAGCUCGUGUCGUGAGAUGUUGGGUUAAGUCCCGCAACGAGCGCAACCCUCGUUUUUAGUUGCCAUCAUUAAGUUGGGCACUCUAGAGAGACUGCCGGUGACAAACCGGAGGAAGGUGGGGAUGACGUCAAGUCAGCAUGCCCCUUACGUUCUGGGCUACACACGUACUACAAUGCGACGGACAAAGGGCAGCUACCCAGCGAUGGCAAGCUAAUCUCAUAAACCGUCGCUCAGUUCAGAUCGCAGGCUGCAACUCGCCUGCGUGAAGGAGGAAUCGCUAGUAAUUGCAGGUCAGCAUACUGCAGUGAAUUCGUUCCCGGGCCUUGUACACACCGCCCGUCACACCAUGGAAGCUGGUAGUGCCCGAAGUCAUUACCCCAACCUUCGGGAGGGGGAUGCCUAAGGCAGGACUGGUGACUGGGGUGAAGUCGUAACAAGGUAGCCGUACCGGAAGGUGUGGCUGGAUCACCUCCUU
rnacentral:rRNA from 1 species